UACAGAGGGUGCUAGCGUUGUUCGGAAUCAUUGGGCGUAAAGGGCGUGUAGGCGGUUUGUUAAGUCAUGUGUGAAAUCCCUCGGCUCAACCGGGGAACGACGCAUGAAACUGGCAAGCUAGAGUACCAAAGAGGGGGGUGGAAUUCCCGGUGUAGCGGUGAAAUGCGUAGAUAUCGGGAGGAAAACCAGUGGCGAAGGCGGUUAGCGGGCCUGACCUGACGCUGAGGAGCGAAAGCGUGGGGAGCGAACAGG
rnacentral:rRNA from 1 species